GUGUCAGCCGCCGCGGUAAUACGAAGGGACCUAGCGUAGUUCGGAAUUACUGGGCUUAAAGAGUUCGUAGGUGGUUGAAAAAGUUGGUGGUGAAAUCCCAGAGCUUAACUCUGGAACUGCCAUCAAAACUUUUCAGCUAGAGUUUGAUAGAGGAAAGCAGAAUUUCUAGUGUAGAGGUGAAAUUCGUAGAUAUUAGAAAGAAUACCAAUUGCGAAGGCAGCUUUCUGGAUCAUUACUGACACUGAGGAACGAAAGCAUGGGUAGCGAAGAGGAUUAGAUACCCUCGUAGUCCAUGCCGUAAACGAUGUGUGUUAGACGUUGGAAAUUUAUUUUCAGUGUCGCAGCGAAAGCGAUAAACACACCGCCUGGGGAGUACGACCGCAAGGUUAAAACUUAAAUGAAUUGGCGGGG
rnacentral:rRNA from 1 species